rnacentral:rRNA from 1 species
AUUGAACGCUGGCGGCAGGCCUAACACAUGCAAGUCGAACGAGUGGCGGACGGGUGAGUAAUGUCUGGGAACCUGCCCGAUGGAGGGGGCUAACUACUGGAAACGGUAGCUAAUACCGCAUACCAUCGGAUGAGCCCAGAUGGGAUUAGCUAGUAGGUGGGGUAACGGCUAACCUAGGCGACGAUCCCUAGCUGGUCUGCGAGGUUGACCGGCCACACUGGAACGGAGCCACGGUCCAGACUCCUAAGGGAGGCAGCAGUGGGGAAUAUUGGACAAUGGGCGCAAGCCUGAUGCAGCCAGGCCGCGUGUAUGAAGAAGGCCUUCGGGUUGUAAAGUACUGUCAGCGAGGAGGCGUUACUCGCAGAAGAAGCACCGGCUAACUACGUGCCAGCAGCCGCGGUAAUAC